rnacentral:rRNA from 1 species
GACGAACGCUGGCGGCGUGCUUAACACAUGCAAGUCGAACGGAAAGGCCCUGCUUGCAGGGUACUCGAGUGGCGAACGGGUGAGUAACACGUGGGUGAUCUGCCCUGCACUUCGGGAUAAGCCUGGGAAGCUGGGUCUAAUACCGGAUAGGAGCCAUUUUUAGUGUGAUGGUUGGAAAGCUUUUUCGGUGUAGGAUGAGCUCGCGGCCUAUCAGCUUGUUGGUGGGGUAAUGGCCUACCAAGGCGGCGACGGGUAGCCGGCCUGAGAGGGUGGACGGCCACAUUGGGACUGAGAUACGGCCCAGACUCCGACGGGAGGCAGCAGUGGGGAAUAUUGAACAAGGGGCGCAAGCCUGAUGCAGCGACGCCGCGUGGGGGAUGACGGCCUUCGGGUUGUAAACUCCUUUCGCUAGGGACGAAGCUUUUUGUGACGGUACCUAGAUAAGAAGCACCGGCUAACUACGUG